AUCCAGGUGACGAGUCCGAAAUGGGACGAAACAUGCGUCAGACCGGAU
rnacentral:hammerhead_ribozyme from 1 species